rnacentral:rRNA from 1 species
GACAGAGGGGGCAAGCGUUGUUCGGAAUUACUGGGCGUAAAGGGCGCGUAGGCGGUGUGUCAAGUCAGGCGUGAAAGCCCCGGGCUCAACCUGGGAACCGCGCUUGAGACUGGCACGCUAGAGUUCGGGAGAGGAUGGUGGAAUUCCCAGUGUAGAGGUGAAAUUCGUAGAUAUUGGGAAGAACACCGAUGGCGAAGGCAGCCAUCUGGACCGACACUGACGCUGAGGCGCGAAAGCGUGGGGAGCAAACAGG